rnacentral:lncRNA from 1 species
GAUGGAGCCCAAGUCCCAAGUUCAGAGGCUCCAGUUCCUUCCCGAUUUGCUGGCUCAGUGCUAAGCCAGGGAGUGAGGCCAACAAGGCCAGUGCUGUUGAGGGCUGCUUGAAGCUACAGGUCUUUCAGGGUCCAGAUGGCUUUCCUGGCCUACUGUGUGCUCCCACUUACACAUAAGUGCACUCCCGCUAAAGCUAGGAGCUCCACAGCCAUGGCCUUUCCCAGAGAGACACUUAACUGGUGCCAUUUUUAUGAGGGAUAAUAAGAGCGGUAUCAUUGCUGGUAUGUUGGUUCCAAGGUCCUUUCAUCUCCCACGCCUCAUCUGAUGCAGAGGACAGUCAGGAGUCGUCUAGAUGCUUAUCACCCGGUGUUCCAGAGGAGCCACCGGAGCCGGAAUCGAUGGUUUUCACUGAGCAGUCCUUUCAUGAGUCAAGUCCCCACAGGUUGAGGAUCUCGAGGCAAGACAUUACACAUCCCAGGCUGGUCUCAAGCUCGUGGCAUGGCUGAGGAAGACCUUGACUUUCUGAUCUGCAAACCUCCACUUCUUAAGUACUAGGAUUAUAGGAUCUCACUCUGUAGCCCAGCCUGCUUUUGAAUCUGGGAUGUUUUCUCUGCCCAAGUCUCUCACAUGAAGAAGGCAGCCCCGAGACCUCCUUUCACAUUUAACAUUUUUACAACUGUAGGAGAGAGGGAGGGAGGAGUCUCCAGGACAUCAUGGCCAUAAGCCCCACAUCUAGAAUAGCAAGCCUGCAAAGGAGGUAAACAUGUCCUCAUUGGAAUACAGGAUCCUGCUUCUCCAGGAUGGAUCUCUCCUUC